CACACACUCACAGACACACACUGACACACACUCACAGACUCACACACACAUACUCACACACUCACAGACACACACUGACACACACACUGACACACACUCACACACACACAGACACACACACACACACACACACACACACACACACACACACACACACACACACACACACACACACACACACACACACACACACACUCACACACACACACUGACACAUACUCACACACUCACUGACACACACACUCACAGACACAUACUCACACACUCACAGACACACACUGACACAUACUCACACACUCACUGACACACACACUCAC